rnacentral:lncRNA from 10 species
AGUGAGCUGAGAUUGUGCCACUGCACUCAGCCUGGGCAACAAGAGUGAAACUCCGCCUCAAUGAUAAAUAAAUAAAUAAAUAAAUAAAUAAAUAAAUAAAUAAAUAAAUGCCAGGAUGCCUAGAAGAACAAAAGAGUAUGUACUAAGAGGCCAGAUAUAUGAGUGCAGCUGUAGUGAUAAGGAGGCCAUUGGGAUAGCCAAUGUCACAUAGGUCUAAAGUUUGGUUUUAGCUAGAGCUUUCUUCUACCCUAAUACUGCCCCCAUGUCCUGACAGCGGGUAUUGCAGCAAAUCCUGGACUGCAGCCAGAAGCUCUGGUCUCUACAUCAGCUUCUCCAUUUGAAACAUCUCAGAAUUUGAAUUUUGACUACUCUGGUGUUAACAUCAAAAUGCAUUUCAUGGGCCGGGCCUGGUGGCUCACGCCUGUAAUGCAGCACUUUGGGAGGCCAAGGCAGGCGGAUCACGAAGUCAGGGGAUCGAGA